GGACCAAGGAGUCUAGCAUGUGCGCGAGUCAUUGGGAUAUUUACGAAACCUAAAGGCGCAAUGAAAGUGAAGGUCCGCCAUGCGCGGACCGAGGGAGGAUGGUUGGUCUCGAGGGGCCAACCCGCACUCCCGGGGCGUCUCGCUCUCAUCGCGAGAAGAGGCGCACCCAGAGCGUACACGCUGGGACCCGAAAGAUGGUGAACUAUGCCUGGUCAGGACGAAGUCAGGGGAAACCCUGAUGGAGGUCCGUAGCGAUUCUGACGUGCAAAUCGAUCGUCGGAACUGGGUAUAGGGGCGAAAGACUAAUCGAACCAUCUAGUAGCUGGUUCCCUCCGAAGUUUCCCUCAGGAUAGCUGGCGCUCGCUUCUCGCGAGUCUCAUUCGGUAAAGCGAAUGAUUAGAGGCAUUGGGGUCGAAACGGCCUCAACCUAUUCUCAAACUUUAAAUGGGUGAGAUCUCCGGCUUGCUUGAACUGUGAAGCCGCGAGAUAUCGGAUCAGAGUGCCAAGUGGGCCACUUUUGGUAAGCAGAACUGGCGCUGUGGGAUGAACCAAACGCUGAGUUAAAGCGCCUAAAUCGACGCUUAUGGGAUACCAUGAAAGGCGUUGGUAACUUAAGACAGCAGGACGGUGGCCAUGGAAGUCGGA
rnacentral:rRNA from 1 species